AAUUAGUAAUAAAUUAUACCCUAAAAUUGAAACAAUGCAGAGAAGAUUAGCAUGGCCCUUGCACAAUGAUGACAUGCAAAUAAAAAUAUAAGAAUUAAAUUAUG
ensembl:snRNA U6 U6 spliceosomal RNA